rnacentral:rRNA from 1 species
UAGGCGUACGGGUGAGUAACACGUGGAUCAUCUACCUCUUAGUGGGGAAUAAACUCUGGGAAACCGGAGCUAAUACCGCAUAAGCCUGGAAAGGGAAAGCAGCAAUGCGCUGAGAGAGGAGUCCGCGGCCGAUUAGCUAGUUGGCAGGGUAAAAGCCUACCAAGGCAUUGAUCGGUAGCCGGCCUGAGAGGGCACACGGCCACACUGGCACUGAAACACGGGCCAG